GGCCAGUUAGCUCAGUUGGUAGAGCAGCGGAUUGAAAAUCCGCGUGUCCGUGGUUCGAUUCCGCGACUGGCCA
rfam:Chromobacterium amazonense strain DSM 26508 Camzn_DSM26508.33, whole genome shotgun sequence.